rnacentral:lncRNA from 1 species
UUUUCUCUUUUUUUUCCAGACAACCUCCCAUUCUUUUUGCAUCUCUCCUUUCUGUUUUUUUCUUCUCCAUCCUCCUCUCCUUUUUUUCUUCUCCGAUUGGUGUAUAAAAGCUACAGAUCUUCAUUGAAAAAGCAUUUUAUUCAAUCGCUCUUCCCUUAAUUGCUCACUCAAGCUAUGACCGAUCUUCACAAAAGAGGCCCUAUUUCAAAACCCUUGCUCUCCCAUCAAACUAUGUUUUUAUAGUGUUUAUUCAAUUGCUCUUCCUUAACGUUGUGCAGCUUGAUUAUGGUAGUGAUUAUCAUUGAUAGCUCUUCUUCUCCUCUGUAUCUGACACUGCGUAGGCUCAUCACUCUUGAUUCCGUGGAAGCUCAAUAGCCUAGGUUCCUCCCAUUUGUCCUCUCUUCUGAUUUGCUCUAUGCUAUAUUAUUACCUUGUUUUGAGUUUUAAGAUUGUGCGAGUAUUAUUUGUUGAGAUUCCGAAUCUAGAUUUCUGGGUGGUUCAUGAAAUUGGAGAUGUGAUAGACAAUGAUCUAUUUUAAAGUUUUUCUGGUGGAGAUACCAUACAGAUGCAGCUCCAUAAAAAACUCAGCAAUCAUAUAUUUUUUCCUUUUUUUGUGUUUUGUAUCUUUAUAAUACAGAUAUCCAAUAUGUGCUUCAACUGCAUUUUACAUAGAGUUUACUUCGCCUUUGAUUUUUUAAUAUAUUAAAUAAUUCAUCUUACUUACUUUUGAUGAUGUUCCAAUUGGAGGGCCAACCGAGAAAAAAAAGCUUAAUUUCCUUUCAAUAAUAGAAAUUCAUUUACUUAUCCUCAUGACAUCAUGAAUAUUUCUGGUACAUGAUUCAGCUGCUUUUCUCCAAGCUGCUUCUAAAUUAAAUGGACAUGAUCCAGUCUUCUAUACAUUGUUGGAGUGAAGCAAGUGCAAGCAUUACUCUGUGGUAAGACUGAGAUCCAACUUUCAUUUAAUCGAUUCAAACAUAAAGCUAAUGCAUUUCGUUAUAAAAUUAUGUGUCUCCUCACCUAAACUUUUUUAAGGAUGCAGUAGAAGAUCUCAAGUGUUUGGUAGCAAUGAGUACAUCUAUUUGCUCAUAAAGGUGAGACCUCUUUCCAUUUUUUUUAGUUUAAGGGGUUUUUUUGGUUUCAUUUCAAUGUUGUUUCUCUCUUUGUUGUAUUUUGGUUUAGAUUUGUUCCUACUUGAUUGUUGGCUCUAUCAUUGUAAGGUUUUUUGCUGCUUUGGUAUUAGCUUUCAAUUCAGGUUUUCAUGUUCGAUUUUUGGUUUUGUGAAGAUCAAAUCUAGGCGUGUGGUCAAUCUAGCUUCAAGAAACCUUCUAAAUUUUGUAAGUGCAUUCUUAUGCCUUGGUUUCCGGAACUCAAGUGGCUUCCAAGGUAUACAUUCAUUAAUAAAAUUGGCAAGGUUGUGGAAGGCGAAAGGCGGUAGUAAGGCGGUGAGGUCCUGCCUUACGACUUGGCCGAUUAGGCCUUUUUUGAAAAAAAUAUAAUAGAUUUAAGUGAAAUAAACAAGUUCAAACAUAACAGUGCAGAGUUCACAGAGUUACAGUUUUGUAAUUGAUAAAGUUCAAGAUGAUUAAUGUUCAAGUUCUAACAUAGAAGAAUACACACAUAAGAUAAACCAUAAAUGCAUAAGAUAAGCCAUAAAGGCGAUAUCAAGCUCAUAGCUUGGUAAGUCGUCAAUACUCUUCAUCAUCCUCGAAAGCGAUCGAGUCUAUUUCCUUGUUAUUCUCUUCUUCUUUGGAAUCAAACUCUUCAUCAUGACGCUCUCUCACUAGUCUUGCGCUCCUACGCGGUUCACGACUCUCACUAGCUCCAAUUGCAUCAUCAAUAACACUCCAUGGGAUGCCGUCGUGUCCUCCAUCGUCUNNNNNNNNNNNNNNNNNNNNNNNNNNNNNNNNNNNNNNNNNNNNNNNNNNNNNNNNNNNNNNNNNNNNNNNNNNNNNNNNNNNNNNNNUGCAUGUCUCCUCCCUCAUAUAUGAAUCCUUGAGCUUCAACUGAAUCAGAGCUGAUGAGAACAUUAACAUUCUUCCUAUCCUUUAUCUUCCUCUGUUUGGACAUCAAUCUGGAGUUGAACUGAAUGUACACUAGUUGAUUGAGGCAAUUUGUUGUAAGCCUAUUCCUUCUCUUAGUAUGAAUCUACCAAAACAAUUGACUAUAUGAGCUUGCAUCUAAUAUCCACUUUUCCACAAUAGCAAUGACAUUAGAUAAAGAAUUGAAGACUAACCGACUCCAAAGUGCUCCAAUUUCUCUCACAAGCAGAAGAAGUUGAGGUUAAUGACAUUAUCCUUAUAGCCAUCCUCUGCAAAUGUGGUGUCUCACCUCCAUACAUUCUCCACCAAGCAACUAAGUAGACAAUGAAAUAUAAAUUAGCUCAUGAGAAUAAAUCAUAAAUGAUAAGAAAAUGAGGGAAUAAGUACUAACCAGGAUUGUAAUCAAAGUUCUCACAAAACCUUGCUAACUUCUUUCCAAAGUGUCCUUCUUUCUUUUGAAAUAUGGUGAACUCAAUGUUCACCGCCUGAUCGUGUAUAUCCUCCUCACAAACAUAGUAGAAUUUCUUAANNNNNNNNNNNNNNNNNNNNNNNNNNNNNNNNNNNNNNNNNNNNNNNNNNNNNNNNNNNNNNNNNNNNNNNNNNNNNNNNNNNNNNNNNNNNNNNGUUAUUGAAUAUUGAUGGGUCGACAUAGCUGUAGUGAGGAUUCAAGAGAUAUGCUGUUAAAUGCAAUAGAGUAUCAAGUAUACCUUUCAUCUUCUUCUCCAUAAUAGCAAUGACUUCUUUGCAUCAUAGUUCCUCUCUAAUUAACGCCUCCUUUAGCUCUCUCUUUGUCUUUAGAAGUUCCCCAUACACAAAACCCAUCGAAGGUUUCACAUCUCCAUCGACCAAUCGAAGUAGUUUGACCAAUGGCUCAAAGACUUUCAAGCAAGUCUCCACACCAUUCCAAAACCCCAUCCUAAGAAUUGUGGCAUAAGCAUUCUGGCCUUUCUUUGUACUUGUCUCGUUAAUAGAAGUCCACUUUGAAUCCACCGCCAUCUUCUUCAAUUAAUCUUUCUUUUCCAUCAAGCUUUGUAAAGUAAGAAACUAAGAAGCAAAUCGAGUAAUACCUGGUCGAAUGAUCUCUCUUAUCUUAGUGAAGGACCUCAUCAACUUUAAAGUUCGGUGAUGACCAUAUAUGAAGAUGGUGAAAGCCUUAGCCUCAUCAAUAAUUUUCUUGAACUUUAGAAUGUUGCCAAUUCCUUGGAGCAUUAAAUUGAUAGUUUGAGUUGCACAAGAAUUCCAAAAUAUGUGUGACCUGUUCUUCUCCAAGAGAUUCUUUGAUGUCAUGUUGUUGGAAGCAUUGUCUGUCACAACUUAAAUGACAUGCUCAUCUCCAACUUCCUCAAUGGCAUUGUCAACUAGCUCAAAAAUAAACUCACCUGUGUGAGAAAUAUUUGAAGUGUCUGUAGACUUUAUGAAGCUAGUCCCCUCAGCACAGUGUGUGACUAUGUUCAUUAUACUCCGCCUCUUCAUGUCCGUCCAAGCAUCAGUCAUAAGCGAGCAACCGUUCUUUUCCUUCUCUUUUGAGCUACCGUUCUUUUCCUUCUCUGUCACGGCUAGCUUACAAGCCCUUUGUUCUUGCAUAUUCAUCUUUCAACAAAGUCUCUCGAAGGUCGUACGGAGAAGGAGGUUUCAAUCCAGGACCGAAUUGACCAAUGACCUCACACAUUUGCCUGAAUUCGUCAUUGUCAAUGGCAUUGAAUGGAAUAGCUGUAAUAAAAGUUCACAUACUUAAUUAGAAAAAAUGAUUAGAAAAAAUGAACUUGUGUUUGUAAGGAAGAAAUGAGUGGCAUAGCUAGGAACUAACCAUGUGUAUACACCCAUUUUGCAAUGUAUUGAUGGACUUGAAGUGUCCUCUCUUUCCAAAGUGCUUGGUUUAUCUUCUGCUGAUGGAGUGUUGUUAUUGGAGAAAUCACAGUAGGACCUAUAGGACGUGCCCACUUAUCUAUAUGACCAAGCUAGUCGGUCUCGAGCUAUCAAAAUAACUCAUCUCCUCUUCAUGUUGUGCAUCAGAAGAAACAUUAACAUCCUCUCUUAGAACUUGUUCAUGUUCAUGCUUCUCUUUCUUCUUCUUUUGAAAGCUCGAGAAGUAUUCCAAGCAUUCAUCACGAGCUUCUUUGGGGCAUUUUGUGCAUUUAGCCACUGAAGAUCCAAUACCAGCUAUGUGUUGCUUGAAACGGUUUACACCUCCACUGCUAACAUGUUUACAAAAGUUGCACUUGACUUUGUCUUUGUUAUUCGGAUCAGCGAUUUUUCUGUAUUUCCAACCGAUAUCACCCGACCAUCUUUUCAGGCCACUAGUACUACUACUAUCAACUUGUGUACCGUCUACUCCCGAUGAAUCUGCCAUGGCAAUCCUGCAUCACCAGUCACCAAUCACCAAAUUUAACAAACUCAUGAAAAUUCUCACUCACAGUCCUUCACAACAACUUGUGUUAGAGAUCAGAGAACAAGAAUAGAUACGUUAUUUGGAUAAGGGCAAAGCUUCCAUUUGAAAAACAUGCUGGAAUUAUCAUUAUCUAUUACCAGUUAUGUUAUGUAUUUAAUCUCCAGCGAUGUACACAGAGGAAGAGGGUAAACAAGGCAAGCGAUUUCCAGCGAUUUACAGAAACAGGGUUUACAGAAACAAUUCCAGCGAUUUCCAGCGAUGUACACAGAGGAAGAGGUGAAGCAGUCACCUUGGUUCAUUGGUAGGAGUCGGCGACGGCAAGGAGGAGUGAGGACCGCCGGUGGAAUCGACGGCAGGGAGGAGUGAGGACCAUCGGUGGUUGGCGUCGAUCGUCUGCAAUCUGCACAGAGAGGAGAUGAAGGAGGAUGAAGGUGAGAACGCGUCGAUCGCCUGCACUCUACAGUCCGCGUUUUAGGUUUUUUUUUUUAAAUCCGCGCAGUCCGCCUUUUCCGUCUACUCCCCGAUUCAGCACCGAUUCCGCGUCGUCUCACCGAUUCAGCGUCGAUUCCGCGCAGCUCCGCCUUAAUCAGGCCGCCUCGCGCUAAUUGCGGCGUUUUCUUUCCGUCCUGCCGACUUUUCUGCUUAGACAGCCGCCUAGGCGUGCCUUCUCGAACACUGGAAAUUGGAUGAUGAUUGAAUUAUUCGUUUCAUAUUCAAGUGGGUCAUCGUGUGAUAAAUUAAAUUGGAAGCCAAGUCGGUAAGAGAGUGGGACGAUGUGUUCUACUCUUGCAUUCAUUAAAUAGGUUUAUGCACAUUCCUCAUUUAAUAGAUAGUACUUAAGAAGAUUCUCAAAUAUAUUUUUCACUUUAAAUAUUGCUACAAUUCAUGUCGUUCACCUUAUUUAGAGAGGUUUCAGUCUUAAACUUUUUAUUUUUCUGUUAUCUAUUCCCAAUUCAGUUGUAGUUCCAGAAUUAAGAGUUCAUUAAUGUCGUAAAGUAUUUCACAAUACUGAUUCGAUGGCUUCAACGGAUGUUUCCAUCAGGGCUGUUGGAUAUACUGAGUUGCACGCAUUAGCUUAGUUCCCCUGGAAACAUGAUAAACUGAGUUGAAAGCAUUAAUUUACUGUUCCAUCAGGCUACUGUUGCAUUAGUUUGGUGUUUCCAUUAGGGCUGAAAAUGGACCUUUGCUUAUGAUGCUCUUGGUUAGUAAUUUCCUUCUGUUUCAGUGUAAUCUAAUAGACUCGCUGUGUUCAUCCUAGCAAAAUUUGUUCCUAGGUGUGGCUAAUGAAUGGAGAAGUACCAAUUACCAGGAAAGAAGUAGGAAACAAAGGGACUUGCUUGUGAUUCAAUGUUUCUCUCUGUGUCUACUUCACAUAUAAAGGAACUGCAUCCCGUUACAUUCUGGCCAUCUUCCAAACGAGAAGCUUUUACAAAUAAUGAUGAUGUAUAUAUAAAGAGGAAGAAAGAAGGAAAGUACAUGAGCGACCAAUUAAAAAGCAAUUGUACCAAUGUUGAGAGGAUCAAGAUAAAGAUCCACCUUUCUUUCAUUUUGUGAGCCCAUCCAUCUAUUGGUUCCAUUCAUCAAUCAAAUCCAUCAAAUGUCAUUUUGUUAAUCACAACUGAAAGCUUCAUUCCAUACAUAUUAAUGCAACUUAAAUAUUUUAUUUAAGACGUGUAAUAAGUUUUACCUCCUACAGUAAAUUUGAAUUAACAUAAAACCUCCAAUUUUAAACAAUUCCAAUCACUGAAUAAUCUGUUAUUCCCGUGGUUAAAUACUUUUGAGGGACAUAUAAAGAGAUUUAAACAUUCAAUCUGUAAUUCUUUAUUAU